UCAAAUCUUAAUCCCUCUUCAAUAUAAAUAUUUGCAUUUUUUUUAUCUAGAGCAUAUUAAUUUGCUUAAUAUCAUUAUAUCAUCAAUAUGUUAUGUUGCAACUUGUACCCAAUAUCUUGCCCAUAAGAAAUAUUUCAGUGGAAUUUAAAUCCAACAUAACAGAGUAUCGUUAUAGUUCAUGACUAAUAUUCAGAAUUAAUAUUUUACUCUUUUAAUGCGAUGAGACAUAAAUUUACCAUCUUAUAAGCUAAAUUGUAAUUCGAUUGAGUCUAUUUAUUUUUGAAUUUUAAUUCAAUCCUGUUGCAUGUAUAGAUAUUUGGGUUUUAAUUGUUGUUCUUUUCAGUUCUUUGCAUCCGUUCUUGUUGGUUGACACAUAUAGUCGAAUACGUUGACUGUAUAGUUUGAUUGAGUGUAUAGCUUGUUCUUAUAAUUUUGUUGAGGCAUACGGCCACCCAAAAUGAGCCCCAAGGAAAGCCCUUCCUCAUCUCCUAUAAGACACUCAAAUGAUUUAUUUUCGGUUUGCCAUAUUUUUGAGCUGGUUGAUUACUUGCUGUUCGAAUACCAUUUGUGCUUGAGUUGGUUGUCUUAUCUUAGAAUGUUUUAUAUUGAGCCGGGUGUCUAUUGGAAACAGCCUCCCUAUCUCACAUUUGAGGUAGUGGUAUGGAGACCCCACUUGUUGGGAAUAUACUGGGUAUGUUGUUGUUGUUGUUGUUGAAUUGCAAAGUGUGCCUUCUUCUAAAGCAGAAAUUAGAGAUGCUCUCAUUGAUGAAUGGGUUACAGUGACCAGGUGGUCAAAGAAACAAAAAGCUCAAAUUCCAGGUAGGAGCAUGGAGCUUGAUGACUGGAAAUGGAAAGCUAUGGAAAUCCGAUCUUCAGGUUGGGAUGAUUCAGACACAUCAAGUAGUAUUUCAAAGUAAGUGAUGCUAUUUUAUUGAUUAGAUUGGAAGUAAAUUAUUUUGAAGCAUUAUCAUUUAGAGAUGUUUGAUGUUAGUCUAAGGCGAUUAAAGAUAUUACAAAUAGAAAAGGAAGAGGUGAUAGAUCUUUUGUAGAAGAUGCAAACACAAUGGCAGUGUAAAUAUCCAACUGACUGUCAGAUACCUUCCUUAUGUUUCUUUUUUCACUGGCAUUGUUCUCCUAAAAUAUUGGAUGCAAACACAAUGGUAGGGAAAACAUUCAGCUGACUGUCAUAUACCUUCCUUGUGCUGCUUUGUUCAUUUGCAUUGUUCUCCUAAAAAAGUAACUUAAAUGUACAUUACCUUAAUCAUAUAUCUGAUCUCAAGUUGUUGUGGUCAUUAAAACUCUCAAUAAGUUGUACAGUUUGUGAAAGGAUAGACCACAUUCAUGCUCUUUAACCUUGAUCGGUUGAAGGAAAGGAGCAAUCCCAUUAGUACUCUUUUAGCUGCUAAGAUGCUGAAUUAGUUUGUCAGCAUUGUGGUGACCCUUUGUACUCAAUUUGAGGAUGUUUGAACAAGGAUACAGCAAAGUUGUGAAUAUGCGGUGGUUAGGAUUUGCAUAAGUUUCUUUUAUCAAUUUACUCGGACAUAUAAGAAUUUGUGAAUCCUUAAUUUGGUUGCUGCAAAGGAGCAAUCUUUCCGUACUUUUUAGCUGCUGAGAUUCUGAAUUAAUUUUUUAGCACUGUGGUGAACAUUUGUAUUUAAGUUGAGGAUGUUUGAACCCAUGUUGCUCGGACUCUUCAAAAGUGUCAUCUGGUGCUUGUCGGAUCCUUCAAAAAUAGUGCAUUUUUGAAGGUUCCGACACAGAUACGGCAAUUUCAAUAGAGUCUGCGCAACUUAAGAUUGAACUAUGAUACAGCCAAGUCAUGAAUACACAAUAGCUAAGAUUUAGAGAGAUUCUUUUAUUAAUUUACUAUGACAUGUACGAAUUUGUGAAACCUUCAUUUUGUUGCAGCAAAGGAGUAAUUCAUUUCAUAUUUUUUUGUUGUUGAGAUCCACUGAAUUACAUUUUCAAGAUUCUGGGUGAUCAUUUGGGACUGAGGUAUUGUUAUUGUUGUUUGUUUGGGAACUCAGACGCAAGUUUAUUAGCUUAUCCUUACCCAAGCACCAGGAAGUGGCAGUUCUAGAAUUAGGCAGGUGGAAAAAUCUCUUAACAGAUUAUCCAUCUUUCUUUUCUGCUGCAUUAUCCUAUGCCUACUUCUAUUCUGAUCAACUCGCGGUGUACAGUUGUAAAAGUUCUGUGACUGGUGUAGAUGGUAGAAAUGCAUAGGCUUAUAAGAGAUUUCAACAACAAAAAAAUCUUAAUACCGUGCAAAGGUUGCUUUUUUCACUUUUAUAAUUUUUCGCAUUCCCUUCCUCUUUCACAAAACUGUCUUGUACUUGAGAAAGUGGCGACAGAGAUAGCUAUCUGCUCCGUCCAAUUUGAUAGUUUCUUCUUAAUUGUCCUUUGAGUAGAAUUAUUACUCUGAUUGUAACAAGGGUUUAUUAGGAGGGGGAACCUCUUGUAAGGAGCCCAGUGAACCUUUUGCUUUUGUAGCCCAAAUUGUCUUGUGAUAUUUGCAAUGUAAUAUGAAGAAUGAUCAUGUUUACUUUCCUAUUUUUUGUGUUCUCCGAUCUUCAUCUUCUUUUGUUAUAAAUAUAUUUGGAUUAUGUGAGUUUAUUAAAGUUUUAGAUAAUCCGUCAUAUGAAAGGCAUGCAAGAUUUCACUUAUUCCAUAGCUACUAGCAUCAUCAAUUUUUUAUUCAAAUUUAACAACAUACUUAGUGAAAUCUUAUAAGUGAAGUCUGAGAGGGAAUAGUGUGUAUGUAGGCUUACCCUUGCCUUAUGAAGGUAGAAAAAGUUUUUUCGAUAAAUAAACUCUCGACUCAAACAAAGAAAAAAAAACUAGGCAAUGCACCAGUAAAGUGGUGUAUGUAGCCUGUCAUUGCUGCUUUAUUUGAUGCUUCAACUAUAGUCUCUAGAUUUGAAUUUUGUUGGUUGUAGUCACAUCCGAUUUGGUUUCAUGUGUGAAUGUGUACUGAGUGACUUGACUUCUUGACUUCUGGAGCUUCAUUACUACCUGUUCUUCCGUUUGAGAAAUGGAAAAUACCUUUUGAAUUUUGAUAGAACCAUGUGUUAAAGUGCUGCCAUGACAGGCGCUUGUUUUUCUCUAUGGUUUGCAAGAAGUAGUACAUCAUAUAGUUGACUUAGUGGAUCCAUUUGAAGGAAUUUCCUGGCUGCUUUCCAAGAAUUUUGGGCCAUGAAGCUUUCGGGAUUGUGGAGAGUGUUGGAGAAGGUGUUGAGGAGUUGAAGGAAGGAAAUUCAGUCGUACUAAUAUUUUUGCUUGACUGUAUGGACUGUGUAGACUGUAAAUCCAAGAAAAGCAACCUUUGUUCCAAAUUUCCAUUUUAAAUCACUCCAUUGAUGCAUAGAGAUGACACAAGCUGAUUCACUACUGUUGAAGGAGAAACUUUACACCAUUUCCUGUAUGUAUCGAGUUUUUCCGACUACACAGUCGUUGAUGUUGUUAAUGUCAGAAAGGUUGAUCCUGAAAUCCCACCUAAUAAGGCAUUCCUUUUCAACUGCGGAGUAUCAACAGGUAUUCUUUGUCCUGAGCCGGGGGUCUAUCGGAAACAGCCUUGCUACCUCUCCGGAGGUAGUGGUAUGGACUGCGUACAUUUUACCCUCCCCAGACCCCACUGUGUGGGAGUACACUGGAUUUGUUGUUGUUGUUGUUGAGUAUCAACAGGUAAUUUCAUGACCCUUGUGUCUAUAAUCAUUUCUUGAGUUAGUUGUAUUCAUGCUCAACCUUUUAUUAACCACUCGAAGUCAUUAUCUGUAUGUUUAUGUUGUUUGUUUCAAUUUUUUCUAUACAAUCUAUGUGAUAACAAGCAAAUACUGUGUAAAGAGUUUUGACACUGACGAUGCAUUUAACUUAAAUAUGACGAUGAUUCUUAUCUCGUGCUCAAGCUUUUAUAUAUAUUUAUUAUUCUUUUACUUGAGCAGGUUAUAAUUGAGACGACCAAUGGAGGUGCUGAUUAUUGCUUUGAAUGUGUUGGUCUUGCACAACUGAUGCAAGAACCAUUUGCGUACUGCAGAAAGGAAUUUCAGUUGGACAAGUUUGUCACACAUGAAGUGAAUUUUGAAGAUAUCAAUAACGCGUUCGAGUUACUCAUUCAAGGAAAGAGCCUACGCUGUGUUAUUUAGAUGGACAAGUGAUUUAUCUUACUGCAGCUUGUGCAUUGUUUUAGUUAUUGAAUCUCAACUUUCAUAAACUAUGUUACUUUCAUUUCAGUUUAUUUAGUCUCGAGUUUAAGUUCAAAAAAUAUUAUUACAGCAGACAUUACUGUAGAUUGUGUAAAUAUUCUCUCAGAAAUAAUUUGAUGUGCAUGAUUUUGAUAGACA